rnacentral:rRNA from 1 species
AUGGUUGGAGGGGAAGUUGUGGAGCGACCAUCACAAGCGGGCAGGAUAAGGGCAUCACCAGCGCGGUUUGAAAAUUUCAACGCCUCUCUAACCACACCACAGAAGUCAGAGCUAGUUUCGAGGUUGUUCGGGGGGCUAUUGAACUUAUCAGACAUACUUCCAGCGGACCUCACUAAGUUCCUGGUGCAGUCCUACCAGCCACAGACCUCUGAAAUGGUUUUCCCAGGAAGGGGAAGGAUUCGUGUCGAUGCUGACAGUGUUCAGAGGAUCACUACAUGGCUCAAGAUGAUUGAGGAUAUGGCUGGAAGAACGGAUGACGCAUUCUUUAUGGCCUGUCUUGCGGUUGCCUUUAGCACUUUCCUAGCACCAACCACGGCCUUGAAGCUCAGCCCAAAGUGUUACGGACUUGUGCUAGAUCAUGAAAUGAUCAAGAACACAAACAUCUGCCUCUUUGUAGCAGAACACAUUAAUGAAGCUUUCCGGAACAUGGACCAGGAGAAGCAAACUGUCUGCUGA